rnacentral:lncRNA from 1 species
AGCACAGCACUGACCGUGACCAGCGUCCGGGGCCCAUCUGGCAAGAGGGAGGGCCCCCAGUACUGAGCGGGAGCCGGCAAGGCACAGGGAGGAAGUGUGGAGGAACCUCUUGGAGAAGCCAGCUAUGCUUGCCAGAACUCAGCCCUUUCAGACAUCACCGACCCGCCCUUACUCACGUGGCUUCCAGGUGCAAUAAAGUGGCCCCAAGGAAAAUGUUCACAGACUCUGAAUGAGGAGACGGGGGUCAGGGAAAGGGUGGUGGCUUUAGACUGGAGAACGCCUGCUUCAAAGUCCCCCUGGGUGUCAUGGUGGUCAUGGUGGGCAUGGACAGAGGGUACCCCUGGUCCCAAAAUCAAGAAAUGACCUGAUCUUGAAUGAGGCUGAGGCCCAAGGAUGAAUGCUGGAUUCACCAGAGACCAUGGCAAAGAAGCCUGCUCCUAAGAACUACAUGGGAUCCCUAUUCCUCAUAACCUAGACAGCCCUGGUCCUCCUCACUGGGUCCUCAUCCUGAUCACAGGGCCCUGGUCCUGACCAGUGGGCCCGUUUACCGAUCACUGAGCUCUGGUCCUACUACUUGGUCCCUGUUCCUGAUCACUUAAUUCUAGCCUUGAUCACUGAGCCUUAGUCCUGAUCACUGAGUCCUACUCCUGUUUUUUGCCCUGGACCUCGUCACUCAGCCCUGGUCCUUGUCACUCAGCCCUGGACCUCAUCACUCAGCCCUGGUCCUGGUCACUCAGCCCUGGUCCUCGUCACUCAGCCCUGGACCUCGUCACUCAGCCCUGGUCCUCGUCACUCAGCCCUGGACCUCGUCACUCAGCCCUGGACCUCAUCACUCAGCCCUGGACCUCCUCACUCAGCCCUGGUCCUCAUCACUCAGCCCUGGACCUGAUCACUCAGCCCUGGUCCUGGUCACUCAGCCCUGUUCCUGAUCACUGAGCCCUGGUCCUGAUCACUGAAUGCUGGUCCUGAUCACUGAGCCCUGUUCCUGAUCACUAACCCCUGUUCCUGAUCACUGAGCCCUGGUCCUGAUCACUGAGCCCUGGUCCUGAUUACUGAGCCCUGGACCCAGUCACUGGCCCCUGUUCCUGAUCACUGGGCCCUGGUCCUGAUCACUGAGCCCUGUUCCUGAUCACUGAGCCCUGGACCCAAUCGCUGGGCCCUGGUCCUGAUCACUGGGCCCUGGUCCUGAUUACUGAGCCCUGGUCCUGAUCGCUGGGCCCUGUUCCUGACCGCUGAGCCCUGGACCAGAUCAUGGAUCCCUGUUCCUGAUCACUGAUCCCCGGU